UGCGAGGAAGCACGACUCUCGGCAACGGAUAUCUCGGCCCUCACCACGAUGAAGAACGUAGCGAAAUGCGAUACAUAGUGUGAAUUGCAGAAUCCCGUGAAUCAUCAAGUCUUUGAACGCAAGUUGCGCCCGAGGCCUUGGCCAAGGGCACGUCUGCCUGGGUGUCGCAU
rnacentral:rRNA from 2 species